rnacentral:tRNA from 1 species
GGGCCGGUAGAUCAACGGAACGCGGCGUUAAAGAUCGCCACCUUCGCAAGGUGGAGGUUCCGGGUUCAAAUCCCGGCCGGUCCACCA